GAUGAAUUCUGAGCAGAUUAUUUCCUGUUUAGGGAACUUUUUAUACAGUUUGUCUGUGUUAUGUAUCUUUUAUCAUUUUUAACAAUCAUAAAUACUUAAUAUGCUUCUUUUUGGACAAAUUCAGUGUUUUCUUGUCCCUGAUGAGAUGCUGCUUGUUCUCAUUGGUCAGUGUUGAGGAAGAAUGAGAGCAGAAAGCUGCCAUCAGCUGCUCUACUUCUACUAUCAGUCCACUAGAUGGCCUCAUGGAGCUGCAUUUAUCUGACAGCUUUACUUCCUGUUUACUUUUCAAACAUGGGAUCAGUUUAUAAAAUAGAAUUCAUUAUUUUACAUUCAA